rnacentral:rRNA from 1 species
GAUUGAACGCUGGCGGCAUGCUUUACACAUGCAAGUCGAACGGUAACAGGUCUUCGGAUGCUGACGAGUGGCGAACGGGUGAGUAAUACAUCGGAACGUGCCUAGUAGUGGGGGAUAACUACUCGAAAGAGUAGCUAAUACCGCAUGAGAUCUACGGAUGAAAGCAGGGGACCUUCGGGCCUUGUGCUACUAGAGCGGCUGAUGGCAGAUUAGGUAGUUGGCGGGGUAACGGCCCACCAAGGCGACGAUGACUAGGGGAUCUGAGAGGAUGGCCCCCCACACUGGUACUGAGACACGGACCAGACUCCUACGGGAGGCAGCAGUAAGGAAUAUUGGUCAAUGGAGGGAACUCUGAACCAGCCAUGCCGCGUGCAGGAAGACUGCCCUAUGGGUUGUAAACUGCUUUUGUACGGGAAUAAACCUACCUUCGUGAAGGUAGCUGAAUGUACCGUAAGAAUAAGGAUCGGCUAACUCCGUGCCAGCAGCCGCGGUAAUACGGAGGAUCCGAGCGUUAUCCGGAUUUAUUGGGUUUAAAGGGAGCGUAGGCGGCCUUUUAAGUCAGGGGUGAAAGACGGUGGCUCAACCAUCGCAGUGCCCUUGAUACUGAAGGGCUUGAAUAUAGCUGAGGUAGGCGGAAUGUGACAAGUAGCGGUGAAAUGCAUAGAUAUGUCACAGAACACCGAUUGCGAAGGCAGCUUGCCAAACUAUUAUUGACGCUGAGGCUCGAAAGCGUGGGGAUCGAACAGGAUUAGAUACCCUGGUAGUCCACGCCCUAAACGAUGAUGACUCGAUGUUAGCGAUAUACAGUUAGCGUCCAAGCGAAAGCGUUAAGUCAUCCACCUGGGGAGUACGCCCGCAAGGGUGAAACUCAAAGGAAUUGACGGGGGCCCGCACAAGCGGAGGAGCAUGUGGUUUAAUUCGAUGAUACGCGAGGAACCUUACCCGGGCUUGAAAGUUACUGAAUGGUGCAGAGAUGUACCAGUCCUUCGGGACAGGAAACUAGGUGCUGCAUGGCUGUCGUCAGCUCGUGCCGUGAGGUGUUGGGUUAAGUCCCGCAACGAGCGCAACCCCUAUGUUUAGUUGCCAGCAUGUUAAGGUGGGGACUCUAAACAGACUGCCUGCGCAAGCAGUGAGGAAGGAUGGGACGACGUCAAGUCAUCAUGGCCCUUACGUCCGGGGCUACACACGUGCUACAAUGGUCGGUACAGAGGGCCGCUACCCAGCAAUGGGAUGCCAAUCUCAAAAAGCCGAUCACAGUUCGGAUCGGGGUCUGCAACUCGACCCCGUGAAGUUGGAUUCGCUAGUAAUCGCGUAUCAGCAAUGACGCGGUGAAUACGUUCCCGGGCCUUGUACACACCGCC